rnacentral:rRNA from 1 species
AUUGAACGCUGGCGGCAGGCUUAACACAUGCAAGUCGAGCGAGCGGCGGACGGGUGAGUAAUGUCUGGGAAACUGCCUGAUGGAGGGGGAUAAAUACUGGAAAAGGUAGCUAAUACCGCAUACCCUCAGGUGGGCCCAGAUGGGAUUAGCUAGGGGGUGGGGUAAUGGCUCACCUGGGCGGCGAUCCCUAGCUGGUCUGAGAGGAUGACGAGCCCAACGGGAACUGAGACACGGUCCGAACUCCUACGGGGGGCAGCAGUGGGGAAUAUUACACAAUGGGCGCAAGCCUGAUGCAGCCAUGCGGCGUGUGUUAAGAAGGCCUUCGGGUUGUAAAGCACUUUCAGCGAGGAGGCGUUACUCGCAGAAGAAGCACCGGCUAACUCCGUGCCAGCAGCCGCGGUAAUAC